rnacentral:rRNA from 1 species
AGAUUGAACGCUGGCGGCGUGCUUAACACAUGCAAGUCGAGCGGUAGCAGGCGUAGCAAUACGUGCUGACGAGCGGCGAACGGGUGAGUAAUGCUUCGGAAUCUUCCUAGUAGUGGGGCAUAACCUGGGGAAACUCAGGCUAAUUCCGCAUACGACCUAUGGGUGAAAGCAGGGGAUCGCAAGACCUUGCGCUAUUAGAUGAGCCGAAGUCGGAUUAGCUAGUUGGUGGGGUAAAGGCCUACCAAGGCGACGAUCCGUAGCUGGUCUGAGAGGACGACCAGCCACACUGGGACUGAGACACGGCCCAGACUCCUACGGGAGGCAGCAGUGGGGAAUAUUGGACAAUGGGGGCAACCCUGAUCCAGCGACGCCGCGUGUGUGAAGAAGGCCUGCGGUUGUAAAGCACGUUUUAGUGGGACAAAAAGCCACGGCUAAUACCCUUGGUCUUGAUUUAAACCAAAGAAAAAGACACCGGCUAACUCUGUGCCAGCAGCCG